AACGAACGCUGGCGGCAGGCUUAACACAUGCAAGUCGAACGGGCGUAGCAAUACGUCAGUGGCAGACGGGUGAGUAACACGUGGGAACCUUCCUAGGGGUACGGAACAACUCAGGGAAACUUGAGCUAAUACCGUAUACGUCCGUGAGGAGAAAGAUUUAUCGCCCUUAGACGGGCCCGCGUCGGAUUAGCUAGUUGGUGGGUAACGGCCUACCAAAGGCGACGAUCCGUAGCUGAUCUGAGAGGAUGAUCAGCCACACUGGGACUGAGACACGGCCCAGACUCCUACGGGAGGCAGCAGUGGGGAAUCUUGGACAAUGGGCGCAAGCCUGAUCCAGCCAUGCCG
rnacentral:rRNA from 1 species